rnacentral:rRNA from 1 species
GACGAACGCUGGCGGCGUGCUUAACACAUGCCAGUCGAACGGAAAGGCCCUGCUUUUGUGGGGUGCUCGAGUGGCGAACGGGUGAGUAACACGUGAGUAACCUGCCCUUGACUUUGGGAUAACUUCAGGAAACUGGGGCUAAUACCGGAUAGGAGCUCCUGCUGCAUGGUGGGGGUUGGAAAGUUUCGGCGGUUGGGGAUGGACUCGCGGCUUAUCAGCUUGUUGGUGGGGUAGUGGCUUACCAAGGCUUUGACGGGUAGCCGGCCUGAGAGGGUGACCGGCCACAUUGGGACUGAGAUACGGCCCAGACUCCUACGGGAGGCAGCAGUGGGGAAUAUUGCACAAUGGGCGGAAGCCUGAUGCAGCAACGCCGCGUGCGGGAUGACGGCCUUCGGGUUGUAAACCGCUUUCGCGUGUGACGAAGCGUGAGUGACGGUAAUGGGUAAAGAAGCACCGGCUAACUACGU